UACGGAGGAUCCUAGUGUUAUCCGGAUUUAUUGGGUUUAAAGGGAGCGUAGGCGGGAGGUCAAGUCAGCUGUGAAAUGUAUCUGCUUAACGGGUACACUGCAGUUGAAACUGGUUUUCUUGAGUGCGUAAGAGGCAGGCGGAAUUCGUUGUGUAGCGGUGAAAUGCUUAGAUAUGACGAGGAACUCCUAUUGCGAAGGCAGCUUGCUGGGUCGUUACUGACGCUGAUGCUCGAAGGUGCGGGGAUCAAACAGGAUUAGAUACCCCCGUA
rnacentral:rRNA from 1 species